rnacentral:lncRNA from 1 species
CGGGAAAAUGCCUGAUCCUUACAACUCACAUAUAAAAGACUUCAUCAGAGGAAGAACUUAAAUAUCAUUCUCUCUUUAGUAACCAACACAAGAUUGUCCUAAGAAGAAAAAGAUGAUCAAAGAGUAUGCAGGGUUAGGUGCAGUGGCUUAUGCCUGCAAUCUCACACUUUGGGAGGCCAAGGUGGGAGAACUGCUUGAGCCCAGGAAUUUGAGACCAGCUUGGGCAACACAGCUAGACCUCGUCUCCAUAGAAAGUAAAAAAAUUAGCCGGGUAUAGCGGCAUGCACCUGUGGUCCCAGCUACUCAGAAGGUUGAGGCAGGACAAUCCUUUGAACCCAAGAGGUUGAGGCUGCAGUGAGCUAUGCUUGUACCACUGCCCUCCAGCCUGGAUGACACAGCAAGACCAUGUCCCCCAAGAAGAAAAUAAAUAAAUAAAUAAACAAACAAACUAACCAGAGUAUGUAGGUUAAAAAAAAGAAAAAAAAAGAUGGGAAAGGUAUCAUAAAGGUGCCAGGAAGUUAAUAAAAAUACUUUUCAGUAUUUUGUAGAGUGUUAUGCUGUUUUAAAUAUUGUAAUUUAUGCCUCUAAAAAUUCCAAAUAAAUAUAUGCUUUCAUAGUUAACUCAGUAUUUGCAAUUCAUAUUCCUUUUCUUAAGAAGCACUACCCCCUUCCUCCCAAAUAAACAACUAUACAAGCUUCAGUUCUUAUUAAAUCUUAUCUGCCUUGGAUAGAAAUGAUUUUUAAAAGUAAUUAUGGUUUUAAGCCAAAGCCAUUGGCAGCCCUCUUUCCUUUUUUUUCCUACUAAAAUUAAAUUGGAAUCGUUCCACAUCUGCACUGUGUUGAAUACUGUUCCUCUAAAAUUCAUGUCCACUAGAACCUGUGGAUAUAACCUUAUUUGGAAAUACAGUCUUUGCAGAUGUAAUCAAGUUAAGAUGAGGUCAUCCUGGAUUAGGGUGGAAGUUAAAUCUAAUGACUGGUGUCCUUAUAUAAGGAAAGGGAUAUCUGGACACAGACACACAGAGGGAAGAAGGCCAUGUGACGAUGGACACGGAAACUGGAGUGAUGCAGCCGCUGGCCGAGGAAGGCCGAGGUCGGCCAGCAGCCACACCAGCUGGAGGAGAUGAAGGAGGAGUUUUCCUGGGGCCUUCAGAGAAAGCCCGGCCCUACUGGCACCUUGGCUUU